rnacentral:rRNA from 1 species
GAUGAACGCUGGCGGCGUGCUUAACACAUGCAAGUCGAACGGAGAAAAGAAGCUUGCUUCUUUUCUUAGUGGCGGACGGGUGAGUAACGCGUGGGUAACCUGCCCUAUGCAGGGGGAUAACGUUGGGAAACCAACGCUAAUACCGCAUAAAACAAAGAGCUUGCAUGAGCUUUUUGUCAAAGAUUUAUCGGCAUAGGAUGGACCCGCGUUGGAUUAGCUAGUUGGUGAGAUAACAGCCCACCAAGGCGACGAUCAAUAGCCGGCCUGAGAGGGUGGACGUACACAUUGGGACUGAGACCCGACCCAAACUCCUACGGGAGGCAGCAGUUGGGAAUAUUUCACAAUGGGCGCAAGCCUGAUGCAGCGACGCCGCGUGAAGGAUGAAGGUUUUCGGAUCGUAAACUUCUAUCAGCAGGGAGGAACCAAAUGACGGUACCUGACUAAGAAGCCCCGGCUAACUACGUGCCAGCCGCCGCAGUAA